rnacentral:lncRNA from 1 species
AGAGAGGGCUCUCUUGAAUCGAACCGGGGGCCUGCUCUUUGGUUUCUCUUUGGCAGCGAAGAGGGGGUCGGCGGGAGGAGAUGAAAGGGCACGACGGUGAGAGUGGUAGUGUGUGGCUGGGUCUGGUGGAGGUGGGGUCUUCGGGAGGCUGAGGAAGAAAAGAAAAAAAAUGGCUUUGGAGAGGGUUGUCGGCUGUGUUCUGGCCGGUUGAGGGAGAAGAAGAAAAAAACAAUCCGGUGAGGGCUGGCGGUGUUUGGCCGGAUGCAGAGGGGGGAAGCCUGGCCACCGGUUGGAAAAAAA